rnacentral:rRNA from 1 species
GACGAACGCUGGCGGCGUGCUUAACACAUGCAAGUCGAACGGAAAGGCCCUGCUUGCGUGGGGUGCUCGAGGGGCGAGGGUGAGAGAAACACGUGAGUAACCCGUUUUAGUCUUUGGGAUGCCUUCAGGAAAGUGGGGAUAAUACGGGACAGGAGCUCCUGCCGCAUGGUGGGGGUGGGAAAGUUUCGGCGGUGGGGGAUGGGCUCGCGGCUUAUCAGCUUGUUGGUGGGGUAGUGGCUUACCAAGGCUUCGACGGGUAGCCGGCCUGAGAGGGUGACCGGCCACACUGGGACUGAGACACGGCCCAGACUCCUACGGGAGGCAGCAGUGGGGAAUAUUGCACAAUGGGCGGAAGCCUGAUGCAGCGACGCCGCGUGCGGGAUGACGGCCUUCGGGUUGUAAACCGCUUUUGGCUGUGACGAAGCGAGAGUGACGGUAGUGGGUGAGAAAGCGCCGGCUAACUACGUG